GCUGGAGGGAAAACGAGUCUUGUAACUGUCCUAGGCACAGGUUUAUCAGCUGGGCUUUACAGAGUGAACAGCACCUGGCUUCUCUGCUGCCCCAGGCUUGCAUGUUUGCAGCUUGGCACAGGGCUUCUAAGGGGGCUGCUCGUGCUGUCCACCCAUGCACCCUGCAGGAAAACGCUUUGCCCACCUGCCUGUGACAGCAGCACAGCAUCCUCUCGCUCAUCCCAGCCCAGCGAGCCCGAGCAGUCACCGGGUGAGCGUUUUGCCUCGUCAAGAUGGUGAAACUGAGGACCUUGAGUGAAGGGAACUGAGCAGGUUCUCCAGGAAGACACCUCUAGGCAGCAGAGAUCAGAGGACUUUGGCCACACUGAGAGCUUCAGUUUUGUUCCAUCACCCUUCAUCUCUGCAGCAGGGUAGUGUCAUGCCAGGCUGCAUAUCUGCUAUAAAUCAGCAGCCAUGGAUCUGGUGUAUUGGGCAUCUAAUGGAAAGGUUAUCAUGAUGCUAAUGUGGUGUGUGCAGGAGCAAUGAUGGAUUUGGGGCAGUGUUACGCUGAGCUGCAAUGAAGCGGGCUCAGGAGAGCAAGGAACCUACUAGAGGAUUUAUCAUCAGCAGAUGCAAUUCCAAGGGAUCCCUUCUUCCCCAGGACCCACAGUCAGGUAUCUGGCAAAUGCAAAGAUCACACUGCUUCUGACAUAGGAGUCUCUAAGCUGGGAAGGCAGGAGAAGGGAGCACAAGGGAUGGCUCGGUGAGAGAUUCAUGCCUACUGGGGUGGGAGGAAGUAGGAGACAGAGCCAGAGACUGGCAUUUCACUUAUCAGCUACUGGAAUAAUUCUCCCUCUUCAGAUCCAUGUCUGACCAUAGAAAUUGCCACACUGGAGCAACCCCAAGACCCACCUCACCUAGGACAUCAGCUGACCCCUUUAGGGAGGAAUAUAAUAACAGGGCAGGUAUGUAGGGCCCUUUUGCAGAAUAAUGUCUCAGCUCCCAGUAAGUCAUGGCCAGAGGUAGUAUCUUUGUUUAAGAACUGUAGGUAAAUCUACUUUUUGAAUCACGGUGGCUAUAGGCAUCCAUGGAUUCUUGUGGCAAUUCUUGUGGCAAUGAGUUUCAAGUUUGUUCAAGUACUGGACGAGCCACAUGCUGAUUUAAUUUGAUCCUCUCUAGUUUUCACCCUGGAGGAAACUGAUAACAGUUGCUUUUUGCUUUUUGCCCCUCAUAAUUUUAUAGCCUGCUGUCAUCUCCCUUCAAUGAAUCCUGAACAGUCCUUUUUAAUGAUUCCUCACAAGAACAACAUUCCUUCCUUU
rnacentral:lncRNA from 1 species